rnacentral:tRNA from 1 species
GGUGUAGCUCAGUGGUAGAGUACCCGGUUAGCAAGCACAAGGCCUGGGUUCAAUCCCCAGCACCA